rnacentral:rRNA from 1 species
GAUUAGCCUGCGUCCGAUUAGCUAGUUGGUAGGGUAAUGGCCUACCAAGGCGACGAUCGGUAGGUGGUCUGAGAGGAUGAUCACCCACAAUGGGACUGAGACACGGCCCAUACUCCUACGGGAGGCAGCAGUGGGGAAUUUUGUGCAAUGGGCGAAAGCCUGACACAGCGACACCGCGUGAGCGAAGGAGCCCUUUGGGGUGUAAAGCUCUGUCAGCUGGAACGAAACAAAUGACGGUACCAGCAGAGGAAGCAUCGGCUAACUACGUGCCAGCAGCCGCGGUAAGACGUAGGAUGCGAGCGUUGUCCGGAUUUAUUGGGCGUAAAGAGUUCGUAGGUGGUUUGUUAAGUUCGAUGUUAAAGAUCGAGGCUCAACCUCGGGAGUGCAUUGAAUACUGGCAGACUUGAGUGCGGUAGAGGCUAGUGGAAUUCCCAGUGUAGCGGUGAAAUGCGUAGAUAUUGGGAAGAACACCGGUGGCGUAGGCGACUAGCUGGGCCGUAACUGACGCUGAGGAACGAAAGCCAGGGGAGCGAAUGGGAUUAGAUACCCCAGUAGUCCUGGCUGUAAACGAUGUCAACUAGCUGUUGG